GCACAAGCGGUGGAGCAUGUGGUUUAAUUCGACGCUACGCGAAGAACCUUACCUGGGCUUGAACUGCUGGUGGUAGAAGCCCGAAAGGGUAACGACCCGGAGCAAUCCGGGAGCCAGUAGAGGUGCUGCAUGGCUGUCGUCAGCUCGUGUCGUGAGAUGUUGGGUUAAGUCCCGCAACGAGCGCAACCCUUACCCUUAGUUGCCAGCGGGUAAUGCCGGGCACUCUAAGGGGACCGCCCCGGAUAACGGGGAGGAAGGCGGGGAUGACGUCAAGUCAGCAUGGCCUUUAUGUCCAGGGCUACACACGUGCUACAAUGGGCGAUACAGAGGGAAGCAAGGCCGCAAGGUAGAGCUAAUCCCUAAAGUCGUCCUCAGUUCGGAUUGCAGGCUGCAACUCGCCUGCAUGAGGUCGGAAUCGCUAGUAAUCGCGGAUCAGCUACGCCGCGGUGAAUACGUUCUCGGGCCUU
rnacentral:rRNA from 1 species